ACAGUAUUCUCAGCAACAUUCUCCCAGCACAAGGUGGUGACGAGUUACUUAUGGCUGAUCUUGUCACUUCCUUAUGACUUGGCUAUGAUCAGAGUGCUCUGAGGAAGUAAACCUCUUUAAGGAGAAGCCCAUGUGACAAGGAACUGAAGGUGGCCUCCAGCCAACAGCCCUCGGUAAGGAAGUGAAUCCUGCCCAUGACACAUGAGCUUGAAGGUGGAUUCUUUCACAGUCGAGUCUCAGAAGGUACUCCAGCCCUGCCAACACCUUCACUGUGGCACCAGAGACCCUGAGCCAGAGGACCCAGAUAAGUCAUGCCCAGAUUCCUGCUCCGCAGUAACGACCGCCAUGGCAUGAAUGAAACUCCAGCUAACAUCUGAAGGGAGCAGAGCUUCCAACAGGUUUUAAAUCCAAGAGCUCAGAACCACCAAUUGAGAUACUUAAGAUCCAUCGUCUUUUCCCUAAGAUGAAAGCAGAUGUUCAAAGUCUUCUCCUGUCACCCAGGCUGGAGUGCAAUGGCAUGAUCUCCACUCACUGCAACCUCCACCUCUUGGAUUCAAGCUAUUCUCCUGCCUCAGCCUCCCAAGUAGCUGGGAUUAUAGAGAAAACGCCAGUUGGGAGAGUCAACUUAUUGGGCAAUUUCCCACGCACUGGGUUGAACAGGAAGCCUCUAGCUGCAAAAGGAGCAAGUGCAGAGGCAGCCAGAAAGAGCAGUCCUGGCUGGGUGAGCCCCACGCUGUGCCAGCCACCUGGGUUGAGCGUCUCAGCGUGUUUACGUGACUUGAUCUCAGCUUAUGUGUGAGAUACCAUGUUGACGGUCCUGUUGCCCACUCUGCCCUGGCUUGAGAUUUAAACAAAAACAAAUUACAGGUCUUAA